rnacentral:lncRNA from 1 species
ACUGAAUGGAGAAUAUCUCUUGGACCUUGGCUGUCUCCUGGAAAGUAGUGCUAUGCAGUCAGAGAGUCCCUUCACUGUUGGGUGAAUUGCGUCUACCCUGAUCAAACUGAACACUAACAGUUGCUAUCUGCCAACAACUACAAAGCGUGUUUUGUGGGAUUUACUGUGGCCUUUCUCAGAGGAAGAAGGCCAUGGACAUUAAAGACCUCAAGUCCUGUGGCUAAAUCAGUGUUGUUCAUCUCCUGAAUUCCUUUAAUUGCUUGCUUCUACUGGAGUCAAAUAGGGUAUCCUCAACCUCCAAUUUAUGGCUUUGUGUUUAUUCUUUAGUGCUUAUUUCUCAGGCAGCUCCUCAUCCCAUGUGAUCCCUUCAUCCUGUUUUUGUCAUCUAUUCUUAACACACAUCAGAAUUAGUCUGUAAUUCUAGGUAGGAAACUUGUCUUUAUCUGCCUAAUUUUUUGGAUUCUUCUGAUGCAAACUUAAGCAUAGAGCUAGUGUUAAGGACAGACAAAUCUACUUUUAGGUGAGAGAUACUUUUGUGUUAAGGUUUUUUGUUUAAUUUCAGUUUCUGCCUCAGUGUUUUUAGUGUCAUCUUUUUCUGUCAAGAAAAAUCAAGUUGAAGCAACAUGACAGAAUGCAAAUCAGCAGCAGUAUACUCUUUUAAAAUGUGUAAUAGCUAAAAGCAUGAGGUUCAACAUUUUUAGUUGCUGUACUAUUUCAUUCUAUGAAUUCCUAUCAAGAACUAAUAUUUAAAAGUGUAAAUGAGAGGAAAAAAUAGAUUGCAUUUACUAUGUGUCUUUUUAAUAUGCAAAACUGAAUGUGAACAGAGAAAAAGAUUUAUAAUUAGAUAAAUGAAUCAUUCUUGAUGCAUUAGGAUAUGACUUGUGCUUAAGUAAUUCCAGAUAGAAUGAUGUCCCUCUCAGUUAUGUAGAAAGCAAGAAAAAAGUGCUGUGGAUGAAAUUCUAAUAGUUCUAAUGUUGAGCCAAUAUAAACCAAUGUCUCAGACUGUAUGCCACUUGAACUCAAAAGCAGGCAUUCACUUUUCCUUUUCCUAAUAAUAGCAUUUGCCUGAUAUAAAAAGUUAACUCAAGAAAAACAAGAAAAUAAGGGGGGGGGGGGAGGUGUUCACCUGAAUCUUGAUGGUAUCAAGUUGUGCAACGUGGAAGGACUGUGAAUGGCUGUAUUCUAGGGUGCUGAGCUGUAACCUUGCACUGUACCUGAAUGCAGAAUAGCCAGAUGCUGCCCUUUCUGUGACUGCCUCUAUCACAGACUGCUGAGAACAGAUCCAUGCUCACCUUGAUGAGCACAGAGGUAUCUGUGUGCCUAGACAAACUAAUGCUGAUGCUACUAGAGGACAUCUGAGGACAUCUGCAGCACCUAGAUACUGAGGAAACAGCAGUGGCUAGGGAAAGCCCAUGGAAUUCAGUUAUUUUCUGAUCUUGAAUGAUUAAGUAGGCUAUUUGAAUGUUAUUUUAACAUAGUUUUUGUUUUUCUCCUUAAUCAAGUAUUAUAUACUCCUCCAGCUACUAUGCCUUUGGCUCUGGUGAACUGUGGAUCUUUACUCAUUCUUGGUUGAAAUAAGAUGAAAUUGGGCAACAUGCACUAACAGCAGUGCUCAGUGGUUUGCACUCAUUGCAAAAUGUGCCAAAACAUGUUAUUGUUCUAGAAAUGGAGAUCUAAGACCUACUCCUUUUGCCUGGUUUCUGUUGCACAACCAAGAGCCUGCUCAGUGAUUUCUUCUGACCUCAGUGGGGGAUCUUAGGGCUGGAGUGGGCUGAGAGACAGAGUCUUCAUAAUCACUCUUGAGCAUUGCAGGAUGAAAAGAUUAAAGAGAUUAAAAAUAGUUUACGUGGUAGAAAAAUGCCUUACUCAUCAAGAUUGAAAAGCUUCCCUGGUCAGGUUGGUUCUUGUGAAGUUGUUUUACAAGUGAAACUGAUGUGAAAGGUCCUAUAGACCUUAGGGCUUUGCAGUUCAGGCUCUUCAUGUGGUGUGGGGCAUCUAAUUCCUUGCCAGACUUGCUUUGAAGAGAUUUUGAAUUAUCUUGACUGUGGGUUGGGGUAUGUUUAGGGCUCCCUGUCUUGCUUCAUAUGGCUUUAUUUAUGUAAAAAGAAAAUCCUGUUGCUGUUGAAGGCAAUGUCCAUAGUGGUGUAGACAUCUCUUACCUAUUUCUUAAUCUGAGGUGGCCAACUCAGUUUAUAUUACCUGUGUAGCUACUAAGUUUCAGCUCAGGAUGGUAAUAUGUGUUCCAGACAAUAAAGAAACCAGAGGCUAAAACUGCACUGCUGUUUUGCAGUCCUAAGUGAUGAAUGUACUUACAAUGCAAUAAGGGAUUAAAGAAUUGAUAGUCU